CGAGCGAUCCCUUCGGGGGUAGCGGCGGACGGGUGAGUAACGCGUGGGAACGUGCCCUGGGGUAAGGAACAACCGCUGGAAACGGCGGCUAAUACCUUAUGAUGUCUUUCGAGACCAAAGAUUUAUCGCCUUUGGAUCGGCCCGCGUUGGAUUAGGUAGUUGGUGGGGUAAUGGCCUACCAAGCCUACGAUCCAUAGCUGGUUUGAGAGGAUGACCAGCCACACUGGGACUGAGACACGGCCCAG
rnacentral:rRNA from 1 species